rnacentral:lncRNA from 1 species
CCCCAUUCUCUCUAUGCAUGUGUGACUCAUGCUCAAUUCAAAGAGGGUCCACAGGAACUGACUGCUGAGAGCCGUGGGACAGACAACACCCUACUCAGUUUUUGCACAUUCAAGCAAAAUGCUAUGUCCUUCCUGGAUGGACCAAGUCCCAUUUUUGCAGGCACUGUAUCAGGAGCAUCUGAGGAGUUGUUACUAUCUGAAACUUCUAACAUAAAUGACCAUCUUGGCUUAACUCCACCAUGCUCUCUGAAAUUCAUUUCCCAUCAUCUGUCUUUUCACCCAAGCCGAAGUGUCUGAGAGACUGAGACUUCAGAA